rnacentral:rRNA from 1 species
UUACUGGGCGUAAAGCGCGCGUAGGCGGACCACCAAGUUGGAUGUGAAAUCCCGGGGCUCAACUCCGGAACUGCAUUCAAAACUGUUGGUCUAGAGGCCAGGAGAGGUCAGUGGAAUACCGAGUGUAGAGGUGAAAUUCGUAGAUAUUCGGUGGAACACCAGUGGCGAAGGCGACUGACUGGACUGGUACUGACGCUGAGGUGCGAAAGUGUGGGGAGCAAACAGGAUUAGAUACCCUGGUAGUCCACACCGUAAACGAUGAAUGCUAGUUGUCUGCAUGCAUGCAUGUAGGUGACGCAGCUAACGCAUUAAGCAUUCCGCCUGGGGAGUACGGCCGCAAGGUUAAAACUCAAAGAAAUUGACGGGGGCCCGCACAAGCGGUGGAGCAUGUGGUUUAAUUCGAAGCAACGCGCAGAACCUUACCCACGUUUGACAUGCCCUGUUUGGUUAGUGGAGACACUCUCCUUGGUUCGUCCGCAGGUGCACAGGUGCUGCAUGGCUGUCGUCAGCUCGUGUCGUGAGAUGUUGGGUUAAGUCCCGCAACGAGCGCAACCCUCACCCUUAGUUGCCAUCAGGUUUGGCUGGGCACUCUAAGGGAACUGCCGGUGGCAAGCCGGAGGAAGGUGGGGAUGACGUCAAGUCCUCAUGGCCCUUACGCGUGGGGCUACACACGUGCUACAAUGGUAGUGACAAUGGGAUAAUCCCAAAAAGCUAUCUCAGUUCGGAUUGUCGUCUGCAACUCGACGGCAUGAAGUUGGAAUCGCUAGUAAUCGUGGAUCAGCAUGCCACGGUGAAUACGUUCCCGGGCCUUGUACACACCGCCCGUCACAUCAUGGGAGUUGGGUCUACCCGACGGCCGUGCGCCAACCUUUUGGAGGCAGCGGACCACGGUAGGCUCAGCGACUGGGGUGAAGUCGUA